rnacentral:rRNA from 1 species
AACGAACGCUGGCGGCAGGCCUAACACAUGCAAGUCGAGCGCGCCCUUCGGGGUGAGCGGCGGACGGGUGAGUAACGCGUGGGAACGUGCCCUUUUCUACGGAAUAGCCUCGGGAAACUGAGAGUAAUACCGUAUACGCCCUUUGGGGGAAAGAUUUAUCGGAAAAGGAUCGGCCCGCGUUGGAUUAGGUAGUUGGUGGGGUAAUGGCCUAUCAAGCCGACGAUCCAUAGCUGGUUUGAGAGGAUGAGCAGCCACACUGGGACUGAGACACGGCCCAGACUCCUACGGGAGGCAGCAGUGGGGAAUCUUAGACAAUGGGGGCAACCCUGAUCUAGCCAUGCCGCGUGAGUGAUGAAGGCCGUAGGGUUGUAAAGCUCUUUCAGCUGGGAAGAUAAUGACGGUACCAGCAGAAGAAGCCCCGGCUAACUCCGUG